AUCCCAGAGACAUGCUUUAGACAGGAAUUCAUUCUCCUCUAGCCAAAGAGAGGAAACUUCAUUAUCGCUCCUAGUAUGGGAGUGGAGGCAGAGGCAGCAUGAAAGCGAAAGCAAGCGCAUCAAAUAGAAAGAGAAGAAAGCGCCGGGAUAUUAUGGCUAGACAGCGAUUAAGACAGCAAAGGGAAUAGUAAGCUGGUCCGAGAGGAUGAUCAGCCACACUGGGACUGAGACACAGCCCAGACUCCUACGGGAGGCAGCAGUGGGGAAUUUUCCGCAAUGGGCGAAAGCCUGACGGAGCAAU
rfam:Ipomoea nil DNA, scaffold: scaffold2942, cultivar: Tokyo-kokei standard.